rnacentral:misc_RNA from 1 species
UUCCCCCCUCAGCGCGCCCUCUGGGAGCGCUGGCGUUGGGGCUCCUCCGCCCUCUGUGGCGGCAGGGCCCUCAAAUCCAGUGGCGGGCCCGUCUGGCUGGCUCCGAGCGCAGUACCGAACGCAAGUUCUCUUUCUCGCUUCGUAGCCCCGGCCGGUGCCCAGCCGUCAAGCCGCGCAGGCGACCCUUUUCGGGCCGCCUCGCACUUUUUUAC